UACGGGGGGGGCUAGCGUUGUUCGGAAUUACUGGGCGUAAAGGGCGCGUAGGCGGUCUAUUAAGUUGGAUGUGAAAACUCUGGGCUUAACCCAGAGCCUGCAUUCAAAACUGAUAGGCUGGAGUUCUGGAGGGGAUAGCGGAAUUCCUGGUGUAGCGGUGAAAUGCGUAGAUAUCUGGAGGAACACCGGUGGCGAAGGCGGCAUCCUGGACCGAUAUUGACGCUGAUGCGCGAAAGCCAGGGGAGCAAACGGG
rnacentral:rRNA from 1 species